UUCCGGUUGAUCCCGCCGGAGGCCACUGCUAUCGGGGUCCGACUAAGCCAUGCGAGUCAAGGGGGUGUCCCUCUGGGACACCACCGGCGGACGGCUCAGUAACACGUCGGUAACCUACCCUCGGGAGGGGGAUAACCCCGGGAAACUGGGGCUAAUCCCCCAUAGGCCUGAGGUACUGGAAGGUCCUCAGGCCGAAAGGGGCUUUUGCCCGCCCGAGGAUGGGCCGGCGGCCGAUUAGGUAGUUGGUGGGGUAACGGCCCACCAAGCCGAAGAUCGGUACGGGCUGUGAGAGCAGGAGCCCGGAGAUGGACACUGAGACACGGGUCCAGGCCCUACGGGGCGCAGCAGGCGCGAAACCUCCGCAAUGCGGGAAACCGCGACGGGGGGGCCCCGAGUGCCGUGGCACCGCCACGGCUUUUCCGGAGUGUAAAAAGCUCCGGGAAUAAGGGCUGGGCAAGGCCGGUGGCAGCCGCCGCGGUAAUACCGGCGGCCCGAGUGGUGGCCGCUAUUAUUGGGCCUAAAGCGUCCGUAGCCGGGCCCGUAAGUCCCUGGCGAAAUCCCACGGCUCAACCGUGGGGCUUGCUGGGGAUACUGCGGGCCUUGGGACCGGGAGAGGCGGGGGGUACCCCUGGGGUAGGGGUGAAAUCCUAUAAUCCCAGGGGGACCGCCCGUGGCGAAGCGCCCCGCUGGAACGGGUCCCACGGUGAGGGACGAAGCCCAGGGGAGCAAACCGGAAUAAAUCCCCGGGUAAUCCUGCCGUAAAGGA
rnacentral:rRNA from 1 species